AACUGUGGCGAUAACAUUCCAGAACACUGCAGAACAUUCCAUUCUGGACUCAGAUGCUAGAGGACUGAGGUGUGGUGUGGACCCAAACGCAGACACUAACAGGAGGAUUCAGUUCAACAGAAAAUAUUUAUUUAAACAAAACUUAACUGCACAGGCUUCCAUAGAGCUCAAGGUAAAGUCCAUUCCAAAGUAAAUCCAAAAGACAGGUAAUCCAAAACACUGAACAAGGAACUAGGCAAGAAGCAAGGCAGAACACUCAACAAGACGAAAGGACAUGACCCAGACUGGAGUCACAAGCAGGCAUACAUAUACACAGGGACUAACGAGCGGGGCAGGAGCAACACAGGCCAAAGAGAUGUUUUAAGGUUGUUAUGGGAGGCCAGAGGUUGGAGCGACAGAAUACCGUUCUGGACAACUUCCAGUCUGAGCAGCAGACUCCCUCCUACAGCCUUCAAUCUGCCUAGACUGGUUAAAGAUAUGAUGAGACACACUCUCUACCUCUCUUCUGAUGGAUUUCAUCGCAGUAAGUUUACAUUCCUUUAGUUCUGUUUUUGCUAACUGCUAACUUUUUCCCUUUUUUCCCUUUCCUCAUGCAGCCAAACUGAAAUGACAUCAUGCCGAGGGGAAGUCGGGCUGAAUACGUACCCACAAGGCCCUGCAGGAGAAGCAGGGACCAACGGCGGGAGGGGUAUCUGCUCAACAGAGGAUGAGAUAUCAAUCAGGGAGGAAAAUACAAUGUCUAAAAAGGUAUUUCUGGCACAGAUGCAGCUCUUUGUCAAGUGCUGCAACAACACGAAGACUGAAAUGUG